rnacentral:lncRNA from 1 species
AAAAUCUGACUUGAUCUACAAUACCUUUUUAGAAAAGGACGUGGAUCAGAUUUUAUGUAUCCAUCUGUCCAUAAACCAGCAAGAAGACCGCAUAAUCUGGUGUGAGGAGCUGACGGAAGAGUACACAGUUUGAAGCGGUCACAAACUUCUUUUACAAGAGGGACAGACUUAAACUCUUUCAAAUUACAGCCAUUUUUACAAAAGAUUAUGGAACCUAAAUUUACCUCCUAAAAUUAAAAUUAAAAAUUGGAGGAUUUUUCACAAUUUAUUGCCUAUUUUCUGUAAUCUACACUACAGGAGACUUAUGGGAUCUGCAACUUGCCGAAGGUGCCAAAACGGACUGGAAUCCAGGGAACACGUUUUCAAGGAGUGCCCUAUAGCAAAGGAAACAUGGGACAGAUUAGGCUUUAACUGGCCUUUUCAAGAGGAACUUAUUGAUUUUAAUGCUUGGACUAACAACAUCUUUGAGAAUAAUUCUUUAAGAUUAACAACAUCUUUGAGAAUAAUUCUUUAAGUCAGAGGGCUAUGGAGUACUAGAAAUAGAUUUAUUCAUGAAGGCGAAUCAAAAUCUGGUUCUCAAGUGGCAGAUUUUAUAAGUGAUUACAUUAAAGAACUGGAUGGGUUGAGUUCGUACUUACCAGUGAGGCGGUUUUCUACGAGUCGAUGGGCUGCUCCGACAAAUCCGUGGGUCAAAAUCAAUUUUGGCGCUGCUUUUAACAAGGACAAGAAUGAGUCAUGUUCGGGAAUAGUCGUAAGGAAUACAAGGGCAGAAGUGAUUCAUGCUAAAGUCGUUUUUCAUAAGAAUAUACCUUCGACUUUUGUUGCUGAAGCGAUGGUGUGCGUUCAGGCGAUUCAACUCGAGCUUCACCAAGGUCUAAGUAAGGUAGUGGUUGAAGGUGACUCCCGAACAGUAAUCAGAAAACUGCAAAAGAAAGAUGAAGAUAGGUCAGAAAUCAAAGUCUUCAUAAAUGAUUCAAAGCACCUGAACAUGGGUUUCGAAUCUUGCGAUUUUUGAUUUGUGACCAGAGAGGAAAAUAAUGUUGCUCAUAUUCUUGCAAAAGAGGGUUUACAGAGGGGUGAAAAAACUUAUUUGCGCUUGUUGUUUACUACUAGAGUGAAGGAAGCUCUGUCUAAGGAUCGGUGAUGGUCGGAUUCUUGAGAAGGUAAAAUGCUGGGUGUGUUUCUGGAGGGUGUUGGGAAGAAACUUUGUACAAGGAAGAAAGAAGCUCUUUUGAAUUUCUGAGAGAAGUACUGGAAAUUGAGUUUCAUUAAAUGGGGGUAAUUAUGAUAGUGACGUUCCCCAGAUUUUUUGCUGUUGUUGAUGGGAUGGGUUGUAUUGGGUAACAGCUGGCUGCUAAGAAGCCUUUAGAGCUCCCCGUCUUUCUCUUAGCUGGAUCUUUAUUUAUUUUUUAGUUUCUAGUUUUGUUCUCUAUUUGGGCUGGGUUUUGGCCUUUUUGUUGUUUUCUGUUUUCUGCUUUAGUCUAGGCUUAACAAGCCUGGCUCUUUGUUAUUUUGCUUUUUGAAUAAAGG